rnacentral:tRNA from 8 species
GGAGGCGUAUCGAAGAGGUCAUAACGAGAACGACUCGAAAUCGUUUUGGCGUGAUGAGCGCCACGUGGGUUCGAAUCCCACCGCCUCCGCCA